rnacentral:sRNA from 1 species
UGCUACAUUCUCGCGACUAAGGCAAGCUGCCGCAUCCAACGGCAGCUUGCAUUAGCCGCGCGAACCUCUGUAACAAGCAGGCCGGUUACACCUUUUUGUCUGCAACGGCAAUACAUUAACCUGAUUUUCCGUUGCUUCCUAGAAGAAAGGGGCCAACGUAGGCCCCUUU